CAGCAGCCACGGGAAUACGUAGGGUGCAAGCGUUAAUCGGAAUUACUGGGCGUAAGGCGUGCGCAGGCGGUUUGUUAAGACAGAUGUGAAAUCCCCGGGCUCAACCUGGGAACUGCAUUUGUGACUGGCAAGCUAGAGUAUGGCAGAGGGGGGUGGAAUUCCGCGUGUAGCAGUGAAAUGCGUAGAUAUGCGGAGGAACACCGAUGGCGAAGGCAGCCCCCUGGGCCAAUACUGACGCUCAUGCACGAAAGCGUGGGGAGUAAACAGGAUUAGAUACCCGGGUAGUCCCUGUCUCUUAUAC
rnacentral:rRNA from 1 species